AUGUUAUACAAAGACCAUCUUUACUUGGUCAGUUGCUACCUCACAGAAAUGUAGAUAUUUCCCAGUGAAAAGAAUGUCACCUUUUUGCUGUUACCCAGAAGCUUGUGGAGUUAAGCCACAGGUCCAAUAACCUCUUGAUUGCCACUUCAAUUGUGCUUCUAUAUCAACUCCAUAAAAUUUUUUAAUAAACCGUAGUAUUAUUUCCCUUGCUUUAAGUUAAUCCUGUUAUCUUUCCUUAUAAAUUAGCCAGCUUUGUGUCUCUGUUUUAACUUCCCAGAAGAUGCAAAGACAUGAAAUGUUUUCCCUCUUUCAUGUACCAGUGAAGAGGACUUGACAAUAAAUUAGUGUCAUUUGGAAAGAGCUGUUUUUGAAAUCACUUUGAGUAUUUUUCCUCUGAAAAUAUUUUGUUCUGUAGAGGAUAUAUUACAUGAAAUA
rnacentral:lncRNA from 1 species